rnacentral:rRNA from 1 species
CCUACGGGAGGCUGCAGUGAGGAAUAUUGGUCAAUGGACGAGAGUCUGAACCAGCCAAGCCGCGUGAAGGAUGACUGCCCUAUGGGUUGUAAACUUCUUUUAUCAAGGAAUAAAACGAGGCACGUGUGCCUUUUUGCAUGUACUUUAUGAAUAAGGAUCGGCUAACUCCGUGCCAGCAGCCGCGGUAAUACGGAGGAUCCGAGCGUUAUCCGGAUUUAUUGGGGUUAAAGGGAGCGUAGAUGGGUUGUUAAGUCAGUUGUGAAAGUUUGCGGCUCAACCGUAAAAUUGCAAUUGAUACUGGCAGUCUUGAGUACAGGUGAGGUAGGCGGAAUGCGUGGUGUAGCGGUGAAAUGCUUAGAUAUCACGAAGAACCCCGAUUGCGAAGGCAGCAUACUAAACUGUGACUGACAUUGAUGCUCGAAAGUGUGGGUAUCAAACAGGAUUAGAUACCCCUGUAGUC